UACAGAGGUGGCGAGCGUUGUUCGGAUUUACUGGGCGUAAAGCGUGCGUAGGUGGUUUCGUGUGUCGGAUGUGAAAGCCCACUGCUCAGUGGUGGAAAUGCAUUCGAAACUGCGGGACUAGAGCGCAGGGGGGGAGAGCGGAAUUCUUGGUGUAGCGGUGAAAUGCGUUGAUAUCAAGAAGAACACCGGUGGCGAAGGCGGCUCUCUGGAAUGUUGCUGACACUGAGGCACGAAAGCUGGGGGAGCGAACAGG
rnacentral:misc_RNA from 1 species